UCUGUUAUUUAUCUCAUUUUUUAUAUCUUUGUCUUUCGACUAUUUCGAUCCUAUGAAUAUUUGAUUCUUGAGUUCAUGUUGUUAUUGUGGUUUCGGACUCUGCGAUUAAUACCAUUUCUUAUUGUAAAAUGGUUUUUGUAUGUAUAGUAUAUCUUGAUUUGAAGUUUGGUUAUAGUAUUGUUCGUGUGGUUUCCGCAUAUUGAAGUUCGAAUUUUAUUUCUUCCUAAAAAAAAUAGAUUUGAAACUGUAGAAAAUGGUAAAAAAAAAAACUGCUUUAUUUCCUUUAUCUUCCAUUCAUUUAAGUUUCUGUGGAUAUGUUUGUGUUUGUUCCAUUUUGGGUUUUAUUUUUUUUUUUAAAUUUGGGAUAUAUCUUAUUGAAUAUGUAAAUACGUGAACAUAGACUUGUUUGGAUUGAAGUUUAUUUUCCCUCUUUGAGUUUUUUAAGGCUGGACUUUGGACUAUUUUAUGGUCAAAUUAUGCAAGAUACAUGAAAAUCUCUUCUUCUAUGGUCUCCGUCGUUUCUCUUUCAGCUAUUUUUAACAUGCCAGUAUGCGGUCGUAAUUUUGUUUAAGGUCUGUCUUAUCCACUAAUCGAGUACAUGGAUAUGGUUUCGUUCUAAGUUUUCGUCGUUUUCAAUAUAUGCAAAUUAUCUCUUUUGAUUUUAUUUUCACCUUCAUCUCUUUUUAUUUUGGAUUCAUGAACAUGUGGAUUAUUUAUUCUCGGGGCUGUGUUGUUUGGUCUCUUUUGGACCCUGUGGAUGAGCGUAAUGUUUUAAGUUUAUCGACGUAGGUUCUGUUUUGACUUUAAGUUCUACUAUAGUUCGUUCCUCGUGAAGUCGAGUUCGAAACAUAAUCUUUUAAAAAAAAAAGGAAAAUUUCAUGGCUGCCUUGUUUAUGUGAACCAAUUUGGGGCUUCCUAUGACUUGUUAUCCAGUGAUAACGCAUCAUUGUUAGUACAAAUUUCAGUUUCCUCCUUACUUAGAAUUCACAGACAUCUUUCGUUUCGGGACAUCAGUUUGGCUCAUUCUGUCGCUGCUUCACUUUUGCUUUAAAUCUGAAAAUUAUCAAUUUCGAGUUGGUUCAUGCUUAACGGAUAACUGCUUGGUUUUUAAUAAUAAGUAAUGACAUGGUUGGUUACAACGUGAAUCUAUUGCUUUAAAAUUUGGCUAAGUCAUGUCACUUGAGAUUUUCCUCCCAGUCCCACGUAUGUUUAUUAUUCCUUACUGCUUAUCCCCCUCUGUUGGCAUCUAAGUCUUGAUAAGGAUGUGUAUUUAAACAAUCUUUAAGUGGCCACCAUUUUGGUUUUGGUUUCGACCUCUCAAGGUUCGGUUCUAUUCAUGUAUGUCUCUAUUGAUAAGGACAAGCGCUUUUAGCUACUUUCGGGUGAAUUGAGGAUGUGCGAAAAGGAAUUUAAUGUUAGUCUUGGUUGGGGCUGUUUUGUUUAAAAUAGGUGAUAAUAUGGAUUGGAGUUAUGAUAUAGGUUGAAGGAUCUUGUGCUUAAUGAAAAUGGGGAACUAUGUUAAGCCAAUUAUUUAAAUUCAUCUUGGGGUUUGCCUACUCUUCCUUUGCCUUUUCCAUUUCCUCGAACAUCUGUAGAUAGUUUUCUUGUCCCAUUUAAUGCGGCUGCCCAUUUUCAUAUAUUAUGUUUAAGAAUAGUCUUCCCCUCGUUGGUUUCGAAUAUGCUCGCGUAAUAUUUAUGUUUCCUUCUCUAUAUCUGUUUUUUCUUUCUCACGUUUAGCAUGAAGUCACAUAUGAAUGUUUAUCCAUCUAGACUUAGAAUAAAUAAAUAAAUAUAAUUAGUACAAGUUAGUGGUAAUGGGAUAAUGACUUUGUUUUACCAUUUUGGUAUAUUUUGGUUAUGAGGUCACAACUGGAUGGUCAUUGUUUGAAGUGUAUGAAUAUAUUUCCAGGAAUUUGUAGAAAAAUGUUUAACUGUAAGUUUCCCUUAGGAUUUGUGUAUGGCUGGCUGUUUGUAUGAUUUGUUAAUAGCUCUGUGUCUACAAUCUAAAGGAUGAUCAAAGGUUCUAGUCUUACUUUUCUACGUGCUUUCAUUCUCGGCUCGUGGAAUCACGGAUUAAAUAUACAUUUGGCUCCUCGUGUGCUAUUUAUGUGAAGUGCUCGUAUUCAAAAUCAUAUCUCCCUUUAUUUUUAUAUGUGUAUUUAUUAAAUUGUUACUAAUCCUUUCCUUGCCUUAUGUUACAUGUACACUCGGGAGCGCAUUUGGGGUCCUAUGAUAUGACAUGGCUCCAUUUCUGUCCAAAUCAGAGAAGCGAACAAUAGUUGCAUUACGCAUCUCCUUCUAGCAGUCUAAUUCCUCUUUCCCUCUUUCCAAGCUUUAUUUUUCUAGUUUUCCUGCAUGAUUAGGGUUUUAACCUCCGAUGUCUUCCACGUUAUAGAUGGUUCUCCAUGAAGCAUGACCACAGGCUUGGCUGGUACUACAAGUAGUUUUAAUGCUGGUUAUUGUGGUUUUAGUAGAUUUGCGUAUUGUACUGGAUUAGCCUUCACCAAUGAAGUAGUAGAGGGUUGUGGAUCUUUCAAUGAUGGUAAUGGUAGGAAGUCCUCCGUUGGGAGAGCCCCACCGACGGUGUUGUUUGCCAUUAUAGCCGCCAAUGUUUGAGCAUGGGAAUUUUGUGAAACACCUUACGCUCAAUGUGUUGAACUUGCUAGAUGCAGAUCUAAUUUGCAGUAAACAAGGGACUGAUGAUCAGGUUAAUUGCAUUCCUCGACAAACAGCUUGAUUCCUAUCCCUUGAGUUUGAUCUACUCAUGAAGUUAUGUGUAACGCCCGUAAAAGUCGUACAUGUAUUAGCUCCUAGUAGUUUACUCUUAGACUUGAAUGCUUGAAGUUUUUUUUCUAAGUGUCAAACAGACUUAGUCUCAGUUUUAUCUCUUGAUCUUCGGUGAUUUUAUUUUCGA